UACGGGGGGGGGCAAGCGUUGUUCGAAUUACUGGGCGUAAAGGGCUCGUAGGCGGCCAACUAAGUCCGACGUGAAAUCCCAAAGCUUAACUUUGGAACUGCGUCGGAUACUGGAUGGCUUGAAUUCGGGAGAGGGAUGCAGAAUUCCAGGUGUAGCGGUGAAAUGCGUAGAUAUCUGGAGGAAUACCGGUGGCGAAGGCGGCAUCCUGGACCGACAUUGACGCUGAGACGCGAAAGCUAGGGGAGCGAACAGG
rnacentral:rRNA from 1 species